CUCAAAGGAAUUGACGGGGACCCGCACAAGCGGUGGAUGAUGUGGUUUAAUUCGAUGCAACGCGAAAAACCUUACCUACCCUUGACAUGCCAGGAACUUGCCAGAGAUGGCUUGGUGCUCGAAAGAGAACCUGGACACAGGUGCUGCAUGGCCGUCGUCAGCUCGUGUCGUGAGAUGUUGGGUUAAGUCCCGCAACGAGCGCAACCCUUGUCAUUAGUUGCUACGAAAGGGCACUCUAAUGAGACUGCCGGUGACAAGCCGGAGGAAGGUGGGGAUGACGUCAGGUCAUCAUGGCCCUUAUGGGUAGGGCUACACACGUCAUACAAUGGCCGGUACAGAGGGUUGCCAACCCGCGAGGGGGAGCCAAUCCCAGAAACCCGGUCGUAGUCCGGAUCGCAGUCUGCAACUCGACUGCGUGAAGUCGGAAUCGCUAGUAAUCGCGGAUCAGCUUGCCGCGGUGAAUACGUUCCCGGGUCUUGUACACACCGCCCGUCACACCA
rnacentral:rRNA from 1 species